ACUUAGUUGACACAGAGAGACUGGGAGAACGGACAGAUGCCAUCUCCAGGAACAGUGGAGGCAGGAAGGGGAUCUUCCCUGGUUCUGAUGCUUCAAAUAUUUGCAAUGAGGAGAUAAUCAAGCAGGCAGUUCAGCUCUGGAUCGGCCAGCCUGUGUUCAUAUCCUGACUCACCCACCAUGAGCAGAGGGUCUGACAGCAACACCACCAACAACAACAACACCCCCCCAUCCCUUUGAUCCCUGUGUUUGUAGUAGAAGCCCCCUGAUAAAGUGGUCAUGGGGGUGACUCAGUUGAAUAAAAAAACCACUUAGCACAAG